rnacentral:tmRNA from 1 species
GGGGGCGCAACUGGUUUCGACGGGGAUGUCGAAACGGGACGUUGCAUGCCGGGGGCCCGUGCCCCGAUAGCAAACGGGAAACCAAUAGUCGCCAACGACUAUAACUACGCCCUGGCCGCUUAAGCCGGCCAGCGUCUCCUGAAGUUUUUGUCUGUGGGGCUUCAACGAGACGUCACCUACGCAGGCUGGCCUGCUGUGUUCGGCUCAGACACAGCCGGCGAGAUCUCAUGAGUCUGGUCCCGGGAAAUCCUGCCUGUCGGAGUUUCCGGGAUAAGAUCCAGUAGAUAGGAUAAGCAUGUAGAGCUUCCCGUGGAGAAUCUUCGGACGCGGGUUCGACUCCCGCCGCCUCCACCA